rnacentral:rRNA from 1 species
UACGUAGGGGGCAAGCGUUGUCCGGAUUUAUUGGGCGUAAAGAGCGUGUAGGCGGCCAGGUAGGUCUGCUGUGAAAACUCGAGGCUUAACCUCGAGCUGUCGGCGGAAACCAUCUGGCUAGAGUCCGGAAGAGGAGAAUGGAAUUCCCGGUGUAGCGGUGAAAUGCGCAGAUAUCGGGAAGAACACCCGUGGCGAAGCGGCUUUCUGGUCUGCUCUUGACGCUGAGGCGCGAAAGCUAGGGUAGCAAACGGG